CAGCAGCAGUGACAGCCACAGAAGCAGCAGCAGCCACAGCAGCAGCAGCGACAGCAGCUACAGCAGCAGUCUGUCUCACAGUCGCCUUGUUAUCUUCUGCGCGCUCCACAGUAACAUAAUGGGAGCUUCAGGAUCGAGCAGUCCAACCUUGGACGACGUCGGAUUCACCACCAGCGGUGUCCGCAGCGGAUCGUCCGCUUCCGGGUGGCACUCGUCUGAAGCGAAGAGCAGCGGUGGAGGAGUCUCCUCCGGGAGCACCUUUUCCAAGAUCCAGCAGAUGGGUGCUUCCGGGAAAAAAUAAGUGAGAUGGAAGCGUCGCAUCCAACCUGUUGGGUCCAGCAAGCUCCUAUGGAAAGGAUGCAGAUCUCUGUGGUUGACAUUCAAAUACGCAUGCCUAAUCUUCUCAUGAAAAUCGAUUUUUAUUGGAUGCAUCAAUGUGUUAUUGUUUAAAAAAUGGGGGUGAGACAGAUGUUUGAGAACGCCGUGGCGUGAGCCUGGAUAAGUGGAUGGGAAGUGGAUGGGAAGCGGCUGCUGCGGAUUUGUGAUGUGACCUGUGAAGACGGAGGAAGUGGAAACAUCUCGGCAGGGAUUUUGACGAAUGCACUACAUUACUGAAAUCGUGUGGUACUACGAUAUUUUCAAACGUGAAUAAAUCACAAUCUAUGAACGAU